rnacentral:rRNA from 1 species
UACGUAGGUGGCGAGCGUUGUCCGGAUUUACUGGGCGUAAAGGGAGCGUGGGCGGAUUUUUAAGUGAGAUGUGAAAUACUCGGGCUCAACUUGAGUGCUGCAUUUCAAACUGGAAGUCUAGAGUGCAGGAGAGGAGAAUGGAAUUCCUAGUGUAGCGGUGAAAUGCGUAGAGAUUAGGAAGAACACCAGUGGCGAAGGCGAUUCUCUGGACUGUAACUGACGCUGAGGCUCGAAAGCGUGGGGAGCAAACAGG